rnacentral:rRNA from 1 species
GAUAUGAACUCUCCGAAAAAAUUACGCUGUUAUCCCUAAGGUAAGUUAAUCUUAUAAUCAAAAAUUUUGGAUCAAAAAAACAUAAAUUAAUGAAUAAAAUAUUAAAAGUUAAAUAAAUUUUAAUGUCACCCCAACAAAACUUUAUAUUCUAAAAAAUUGUUUAAUAAACAAAAAACAAUAAUUAAUAAAUAAAGUAAACUUCUAUAGGGUCUUCUCGUCCUAUAAAUAAAUUUUAGCUUUUUAACUAAAAAAUUAAAUUCAAAAUAAUUAAAAAAAGAAAGUUGAUUUUUCAUCAAACCAUUCAUACUAGCCUUCAAUUAAAAGACAAAUGAUUAUGCUACCUUCGUACAGUUAAAAUACCGCAGCCUUUUAAUUCAUAAAAAUCAAUGGGCAGGUCUGAUCUUAAAUUAAAAUCAAAAGACC